rnacentral:rRNA from 1 species
UACAGAGGGGGCAAGCGUUGUUCGGAAUUACUGGGCGUAAAGGGCGCGUAGGCGGGCUGACAAGUCUGGGGUGAAAUGCCGCGGCUCAACCGUGGAACUGCCUCAGAUACUGUCGGCCUCGAGGAAGGUAGGGGCAUGCGGAACUGUAGGUGGAGCGGUGAAAUGCGUUGAUAUCUACAGGAACUCCGGUGGCGAAAGCGGCGUGCUGGACCUUUUCUGACGCUGAGGCGCGAAAGCUAGGGGAGCAACGGG